rnacentral:rRNA from 1 species
ACUCAAAUGAAUAGACGGGGGCCCGCACAAGCAGCGGAGCGUGUGGUUUAAUUCGAUGAUACGCGAAGAACCUCACCCAGGUUUGACAUGCAUGUGGUACAGAGGUGAAAGCCGACGGACCCUUCGGGGAGCAUGCACAGGUGUUGCACGGCCGUCGUCAGCUCGUGCCGUGAGGUGUUGGGUUAAGUCCCGCAACGAGCGCAACCCCUGGUGCCAGUUGUAUUUUUCUGGCGCGACUGCCGAGAAAACCUCGGAGGAAGGAGGGGACGAUGUCAGGUCAGCGUGGCCCUUACGCCUGGGGCUACACACACGCUACAAUGGGUGGUACAGAGGGCUGCGAAGCCGCGAGGCGAAGCUAAUCCCAUCAAAGCCAUCCUCAGUUCGGAUUGCAGGCUGAAACCCGCCUGCAUGAAGCCGGAGUUGCUAGUAACCGCAGGUCAGCACUACUGCGGUGAAUACGUUCCCGGGCCUUGCACACACCGCCCGU